rfam:Populus trichocarpa scaffold_4_contig_490, whole genome shotgun sequence.
UAAUAUAUCUAAGAUAAAUUCUCAUCUAGUCGCCAUGAAAUACUCAUUUCUAACCAUUCAAAAUCAUUUAUUAUCACAGACCCCACUACAUCACAUAACCACUUCAGUGCAAUCACAGGAUGUAGC